rnacentral:lncRNA from 1 species
CAAGCUAGGCCAUAAAACAAAUCUCAAUACAUUUAAAAUUAUAGAAAUAGUACAAAGUUUAUGUUCUUUGAACACAAUGGAAGACACUAGAAAUCAAUAACAGGAAAAAAAUUUAGGAAACUCACAAAUACGUGGAAAUUAAGCAAUGUACUUCUAAAUAACCAAACGGUCAAAGAAGAAACCAGGUUCCAAGAACUGCGCUCCUUCCUGGCCCUUUCAGCCUGUGGUGGUAAGGGCUCCAUUCUGUUGCUGAUUCAGGGACACUGAAACCAUCCCACAAUGGUCUCUGAAACCCUUUUAAAUAGUCCCUUAAUGAAGGUCUCCUCAGCCAUCCCUUGAGCAUGUUAUCUGCUUCCUUCUGGGAUCCUGAUGGACACACUUCCUGAUUCCCCAUUUUCACACAUACUUGCCAAAAUCUGGUGCCCUCUCUAUUUCCUAUCUCAGAAAAUCAUACCACCAUUCAUCUAGUUGCAAAACCCAGAAGUCUAGGUAUUGACACUUCCUUAAGUUAAUCACCUAAUCCCACUGAUUUUACUUCCUAAAUAGCUCUCGAACAUUUUCAUUUCAUUCCAUCUCCACUGCUAUUCUGGUCCAGAACACCAUCAACUCUUACUUGGAGCUCUAUGGCUGCCUCCCAUGGUAGAUUCUACUCCCUCUCUGUCCGCACUUUAAUAUGCUGUCCACAUGAUAGUGGCAGCUGGCUUUAAGAGAUCUGCUCCCUUCCUCUUCAACCCCCAAGCAGGAACUUCACAGUGGAGAGACCUGGCACACCCUAUCUUAACUAAGUGAUUAAAGUUAGUAUCACCAGUAAUGAAACAAAUUAGUAUUAUGUGCCAUCUGAAACAACACAUUGAGGAAUAGCUUCUGUGUUAUUCCUACCAAAAGUGUAUAACGUGAAUCUAAUCAUGAGGAACCCUCAGACAAAUCCAAACUGAGGAACAUUCUACAAAAUAACUGGCCUGCACUCUUCAAAAAUGUCAAGAUCAAUAAAGACAGAGAAACGUUAAGAAAGUGUUCCAGAUUAAAGAAGACUAAAGAGAGGAGAUGCAUGCUGAAGUAAUUAGCAGUAAUAGACAUGACGUCUGCAACUUAUCCUCAAAUGAUGCAUAAAAUGAUCUCUCAAGGCCAGCAGAUUCCCAAAAGGGCAGAAUAAGGAGCUGGGGGUAAAGAAGACGGAGUCACAUGCCAGAAGUCCUGAUACCCGGUGUCUGCAGAUCCACCCUUACCUAAAAGGAAAAUAAAAGUCAGGAGCCAACCUCGACCAGCAGAACCACAGAGAAUUUAGGGCAUGCUCAUCCCACAACCACUGCACUCAGAGGGGCUUUGCAGAGAUUCAGCCAGGCCUGUGACUCAGGGGUCAAGCCGUGAUAGCAAAUUCACAGCUGGGACACCUCCAUCUUUAACACCUGGGACUAAAACUGCCACUGGGACAAUAAAGGGGAAACAAGCCCUCUAGAGCCCUUCUGGCCAAGGGUGUGGAGAAUCCUCUUCUGCAGAUACCUGUGGAGGUGAUUCAAGGUGUGAUACUCCCAGCUUUGCCAUCCCCGACACAAGUCCCCAGGGGAAGGUCAUUUAAUUCCACAGCACCUGGGAGCUUAGAGAAGCUGCUGAGCUCUUUGUGCUCUGGG